rnacentral:rRNA from 1 species
CUUUACUGUAGCUUGAGAUUGGGUUUGGGCUUUUCUUGCGCAGCAUAGGUGGGAGGCUUUGAAAACAUUCUUGCGGGAGUGUUUGAGCCAUCAGUGAGAUACCACUCUAGGCAAGCUAAAAUUCUAACUUAUCACCGUUAUCCGGUGAGAGGACAUUCUCAGGUGGGCAGUUUGACUGGGGCGGUCGCCUCCUAAAAGGUAACGGAGGCGUGCAAAGGUUCCCUCAGACUGGUCGGAAAUCAGUUUUAGAGUGUAAAGGCAUAAGGGAGCUUGACUGCAAGACCUACAAGUCGAGCAGAGACGAAAGUCGGCCUUAGUGAUCCGACGGUUCCGAGUGGAAGGGCCGUCGCUCAACGGAUAAAAGUUA